AUUGUAUCCACGAUUGGGGAAUUUUCCGCAAUGGGCGCAAGCCUGACGGAGCAAGACCGCGUGGGGGAGGAAGGUUUGUGGACUGUAAACCCCUUUUAUCAGAGAAGAACACAAUGACGGUAUCUGAUGAAUCAGCCUCGGCUAACUCCGUGCCAGCAGCCGCGGUAAUACGGAGGAUGCAAGCGUUAUCCGGAAUGAUUGGGCGUAAAGCGUCCGCAGGUGGCAUUUCAAGUCUGCGGUCAAAGGUCGAGGCUCAACCUCGAACAGGCCGUGGAAACUGAAAAGCUAGAGUGUGGUAGGGGCAGAGGGAAUUCCCAGUGUAGCGGUGAAAUGCGUAGAGAUUGGGAAGAACACCGGUGGCGAAAGCGCUCUGCUAGGCCAAGACUGACACUGAGGGACGAAAGCUAGGGGAGCGAAUGGGAUUAGAUACCCCAGUAGUCAAUCGUGGAUACAAU
rnacentral:rRNA from 1 species